AUCUUCACAACUUUAACGACCCAUGUUUCACCCGAUAAAUAACUUCCCAGUUCUACCUCAACUCUUCCUCUUCUUUCUUCGACUAUAUCAAAAAAUAAACAAACCCACACAUUAAAAUUUGUCUACAAAGAUCAUGCAGUCCUGCAAGUUAGUUAGGGUUUGGGUGAAAUCAGUUCUUCUAUCAUGAUUUCUGAACCUAGGGUUGCAAAUUUAUUUUAGUUGAUUUUGUUUAAUUCACCUAAUUUUAAACUGUUCAUGAAUUUUUCAUACUGAUGAAGUUUAUCUUCUUCAAUUUCUUUGAUGUUCGAACAUAUUUCGAAUCAAGAACUCAAACAAUUUCUUCCUCUGUUCAUUGAUUUAUAGCUAUAGUUGGACUUCUACCAAGCUGGAAAGAAAUUUCACAACUCUCCCUAAAGAUGCUGAUCCUGCGGGAGUUCACUGAUAUUGGGGCUUGGAUUGUACUUUCCUGAAACUAGGAAAGCAAAGAUGGUAGAGAAAAAUUGGUGCCUUAAUAUCUUGUGAGACAGAAAAUACCAACAAGCUCUGGCACCAGAAAACAAUGGGAAAGGACAGAGAUUCAAGCUCAAAUACAUCUGCCCUUGUGGGUAUUAAGAAAGAUAACUUGGCAUUGUAUAUAGUCUUUAACGCAAUCUUGCUUACCUUUAUCUCUCUAACAUCUCCAAGGUACUUUCUCUAGAUUAACUUUCCUGGCAGCAAUUUAAAAAAAAAAACAAUCUUUUCUAUGAUGACUAAUGAUUCAGAAGAAACACUAGAGAUUUUUGCAUGAUUAUCUUCAGAUAAUUUUCUAAGUUAAUUAGGAUCAGAACAAAAAGAUGUCUGAUAACUUUUAGGUAAAAUGAAUGUUUACUA